rnacentral:rRNA from 1 species
CCUACGGGGCGCAGCAGUCGAGAAUCAUUCACAAUGGGGGAAACCCUGAUGGUGCGACGCCGCGUGGGGGAAUGAAGGUCUUCGGAUUGUAAACCCCUGUCAUGUGGGAGCAAAUGAAAAAGAUAGUACCACAAGAGGAAGAGACGGCUAACUCUGUGCCAGCAGCCGCGGGAAUACAGAGGUCUCAAGCGUUGUUCGGAAUCACUGGGCGUAAAGCGUGCGGAGGCUGUUUCGUAAGUCGUGGGUGAAAGGCGCGGGCUCAACCCGCGGACGGCACAUGAUACUGCGAGACUAGAGUAAUGGAGGGGGAACCGGAAUUCUCGGUGUAGCAGUGAAAUGCGUAGAUAUCGAGAGGAACACUCGUGGCGAAGGCGGGUUCCUGGACAUUAACUGACGCUGAGGCACGAAGGCCAGGGGAGCGAAAGGGAUUAGAUACCCCUGUAGUC